rnacentral:rRNA from 1 species
AACGAACGCUGGCGGCAUGACUAACACAUGCAAGUCGAACGAGACCUUCGGGUCUAGUGGCGCACGGGUGCGUAACGCGUGGGAAUCUGCCCUUGGGUUCGGAAUAACAGUGAGAAAUUACUGCUAAUACCGGAUGAUGUCUUCGGACCAAAGAUUUAUCGCCCAGGGAUGAGCCCGCGUAGGAUUAGCUAGUUGGUGGGGUAAUGGCCUACCAAGGCGACGAUCCUUAGCUGGUCUGAGAGGAUGAUCAGCCACACUGGGACUGAGACACGGCCCAGACUCCUACGGGAGGCAGCAGUGGGGGAUAUUGGACAAUGGGCGCAAGCCUGAUCCAGCAAUGCCGCGUGAGUGAUGAAGGCCUUAGGGUUGUAAAGCUCUUUUACCCGGGAUGAUAAUGACAGUACCGGGAGAAUAAGCUCCGGCUAACUCCGUG